AUUACCUUUUUGGAGAAUCAUCAUUAACACAAAUAAAACUCAAAACGAUGAGGUUCUAAUGGGUAUUUUAGCUCAGUUAGGUAAAAUUCGAAGGCAUUGGAACUCAGUAGGGAAUUAUUUACUAUAUGGGGGUGAGUGGAUGUAGGUGGGAAGAGCAUCUGUGUAGGUGGAGUUUGUGAAUGAUACAGUAAUUAUUCUUCAGUGCUUUGCCUCAAGACGGCCUACUUUCUUUGAAAUAAGCCUUCAGGCUCCCUUCAAAGUAAGUCCACAUUCCCCAAACUGAUUGCAUGUUUGGAGCCUAUCACUAAGUGAAAUCCCCUAAACAUAACAUCCUGGUAGAAGAUCAUCAGCUCCUCCCUGGAGCUGUGGUGUGUGAGAACUAUUACUUCCCUAGAGAGGUCUUUAAAGCAUUGGGAUAGCCCAAGGAAAUGGACACAGGUCAAGGUAAAAGCAACUAAGUAGUCUUGAGUUACACAGCAUAGCUCAGGGUUACAUUAUCUGAAUAGAUAGGCUUAGUGUUCGCCUCAGAAGUUGGAGAGAAGACAGAGAGCAUGUGCAUGCGCAGAAAUUGCUGCUCUUAGGCCCUCUGAUUUCCUCUUCUUUCCUUUCAUUAUGGAUUCACCAGUUCUGAAAUAAUUAAAAGACUAGCCCACCAUUUAUGUACUGUAUACCUUUUUCUCUGGCCACAUAAAUCCACUGGUGAAACCAUCUGGGCUUGUCUAACUCUUCCCCCGUUGGAGCAGCCUCUUCACUGGUCACAAGAGCCAUACAUACCUCUUAUUCUCUGACACAGAGGUGCCAUUACUGCUACACAGAUACUGUUGGUUUUUUCCCUUGGUAAAGAAGAAAAUGAAGUUGACUGUCCCCAACAAAAUCAGUAAAAGGAAAUAUAAAGCACAAAGGACCUUGCAUUUUAAAAGAAAAUAUAUAAAAGCAACUCGUGGAGAAAGGGGUAGCUAUGUGCAAUUGAAUAAUACACUGAAGAAGCUGAGGAAGAGAGCGGGUCUCUAGUUUCAUCCUCUAUAUUAUAUGCCUGGCCCUGACAUUCACUUAAGCACACUAAACUUACCAACAAUUUUUAAAAUUUCUCUUGAGUUUGAGGGUUGUAUCUAUCUUCUUUGCAGCUGUCAACCAUGCAUUGCUGUUGUACUCAGGCAAUGUUCAGGAAAUAUUUGUGGUCCUCAAGGUUAUUGUUCAUUGUUCUGAUGUGGUCCUGUGAGAACCUACCUCAGCCCCUGACACUUGGUCACUUAGACAAAUUCAAACUACUUUCAAGACAGGAUCUAAAACAUCGACCUCAAAUCCUACAGAAAAUUCCUAGAGACAGCAUCCUUCCUGCCCAGGUCACUGCUGUCCCCAGGCUUGGCACAUAGUUGAUAAUCUACAUGUAUUUGUUAAAGAACUAACUGAAGAACCACAAUCUGCAACUGAUUACACCCAGAGCCUGGGGGCUGGUCCUUAUGUUGGAAAGCUUUGGACUUCCCUCUGUUAAGAGGAAGAAAAUCUCACUCAUCCUUAGCCUGUGCAUGGUGAAGAUGAAGACACAGCACUAUAGUUGGUUUGGCCUAAUGCUGCUUGUA
rnacentral:lncRNA from 1 species